GCCCCCUGCCGGCCGCGGAGGGCGCGCCUUGGAGGGAGAGGACUUUAGGUGACGCCGCCAGGAGGCGAAAUUUCACCUGCCAGCAGCUCUGGAGGUCAAAAGAAAUGAGACUGCUGGGCUAAGAUCAAGGUGUCAGCAGGGCUGUAUUCCUUCCCAAGGCUCCAGGGGAGAAUCUGUUCACUUGCCUUUCCCAGCUUCUAGAGGUUGCCUACAUUCCUUGGCUUGCGGACCCUUCCUCCAUCUCCAGAAUCAGUAACGAAAGAUCCAAAGCCAUAUCCUGGCUGAGUUGGCUGAGUUGAGCAGGACACUGACAAGGAGGCUGCUGAGCCUGCAACUCGACUGUUCUGUUUGAGGAGCUCUGUGCUUUAUCAUAGAAAUGGAUCUGAGAUGUGGUCUCCCUAUGCUGCCCAGGCUCAUCUCAAACUCCUGGGCUCAAGCAUUCCUCCCACCUUGGCCUCCUAAAGUGCUGGGAUCAUAGGCGUGAACCACUGUGCCUGGCCUCAUGAUAUAACUUCUUAAUGUUAGUUUUUCCUUAAAGAGGGACUGCUUGC
rnacentral:lncRNA from 1 species